GCUCAUUGCGGCAGGGCAUAGUUUAAACUGGAACAAUUGAGAGAAGAUUAGCAGUACCCCAUGGAAGUAUGAUACGCAUUUGUGAAAUCUUCCAUACUUAA